UGCAGUCGACGCCUCUUUUUCCACCGGAGCUUGCUCCAUCGGAAAAAGAGGAGUGGCGAACGGGUGAGUAACACGUGGGUAACCUGCCCAUCAGAAGGGGAUAACACUUGGAAACAGGUGCUAAUACCGUAUAACAAUCGAAACCGCAUGGUUUUGAUUUGAAAGGCGCUUUCGGGUGUCGCUGAUGGAUGGACCCGCGGUGCAUUAGCUAGUUGGUGAGGUAACGGCUCACCAAGGCGACGAUGCAUAGCCGACCUGAGAGGGUGAUCGGCCACAUUGGGACUGAGACACGGCCCAAACUCCUACGGGAGGCAGCAGUAGGGAAUCUUCGGCAAUGGACGAAAGUCUGACCGAGCAACGCCGCGUGAGUGAAGAAGGUUUUCGGAUCGUAAAACUCUGUUGUUAGAGAAGAACAAGGAUGAGAGUAACUGUUCAUCCCUUGACGGUAUCUAACCAGAAAGCCACGGCUAACUACGUGCCAGCAGCCGCGGUAAUACGUAGGUGGCAAGCGUUGUCCGGAUUUAUUGGGCGUAAAGCGAGCGCAGGCGGUUUCUUAAGUCUGAUGUGAAAGCCCCCGGGCUCAACCCGGGGAGGGUCAUUGGAAACUGGGAGACUUGAGUGCAGAAGAGGAGAGUGGAAUUUCCAUGUGUAGCGGUGAAAUGCGUAGAUAUAUGGAGGAACACCAGUGGCGAAGGCGGCUCUCUGGUCUGUAACUGACGCUGAGGCUCGAAAGCGUGGGGAGCAAACAGGAUUAGAUACCCUGGUAGUCCACGCCGUAAACGAUGAGUGCUAAGUGUUGGAGGGUUGCCGCCCUUCAGUGCUGCAGCUAACGCAUUAAGCACUCCGCCUGGGGAGUACGACCGCAAGGUUGAAACUCAAAGGAAUUGACGGGGGCCCGCACAAGCGGUGGAGCAUGUGGUUUAAUUCGAAGCAACGCGAAGAACCUUACCAGGUCUUGACAUCCUUUGACCACUCUAGAGAUAGAGCUUCCCCUUCGGGGGCAAAGUGACAGGUGGUGCAUGGUUGUCGUCAGCUCGUGUCGUGAGAUGUUGGGUUAAGUCCCGCAACGAGCGCAACCCUUAUUGUUAGUUGCCAUCAUUUAGUUGGGCACUCUAGCAAGACUGCCGGUGACAAACCGGAGGAAGGUGGGGAUGACGUCAAAUCAUCAUGCCCCUUAUGACCUGGGCUACACACGUGCUACAAUGGGAAGUACAACGAGUCGCAAAGUCGCGAGGCUAAGCUAAUCUCUUAAAGCUUCUCUCAGUUCGGAUUGUAGGCUGCAACUCGCCUACAUGAAGCCGGAAUCGCUAGUAAUCGCGGAUCAGCACGCCGCGGUGAAUACGUUCCCGGGCCUUGUACACACCGCCCGCCCACCACGAGAGUUUGUAACACCCGAAGUCGUUGAGGUAAC
rnacentral:rRNA from 1 species